GGUGUGACUGCGUACCUUUUGUAUAAUGGGUCAGCGACUUAUAUUCUGUAGCAAGGUUAACCGUAUAGGGGAGCCGCAGGGAAACCGAGUCUUAACUGGGCGUUAAGUUGCAGGGUAUAGACCCGAAACCCGGUGAUCUAGCCAUGGGCAGGUUGAAGGUUGGGUAACACUAACUGGAGGACCGAACCGACUAAUGUUGAAAAAUUAGCGGAUGACUUGUGGCUGGGGGUGAAAGGCCAAUCAAACCGGGAGAUAGCUGGUUCUCCCCGAAAGCUAUUUAGGUAGCGCCUCGUGAAUUCAUCUUCGGGGGUAGAGCACUGUUUCGGCUAGGGGGGUCAUCCCGACUUACCAACCCGAUGCAAACUACGAAUACCGAAGAAUGUUAUCACGGGAGACACACGGCGGGUGCUAACGUCCGUCGUGAAGAGGG
rnacentral:rRNA from 1 species